UGGCUACAUCAUGUUGAAGCACCAGAUCUUUUACGAUCACCGAAGUCAAGCAACCUCGAGCCUGGUCUGUUCCUAGAUGAGUAUCCACUUAGGAAUACCAGAUGCUGUAAG